UGUGUGAAGAAGGCCUGCGGGUUGUAAAGCACUUUUAGUGGGGAUGAAAAGCUCAGGGCUAAUACCUCUGGGUCUUGACCUAACCCACAGAAAAAGCACCGGCUAACUCUGUGCCAGCAGCCGCGGUAAUACAGAGGGUGCGAGCGUUAAUCGGAAUUACUGGGCGUAAAGCGUGCGUAGACGGUCAUGUAAGUCGGAUGUGAAAGCCCCGGGCUCAACCUGGGAAUUGCAUUCGAGAUUGCAUGGCUAGGGUGCGGAAGAGGGAAGCGGAAUUUCGGGUGUAGCGGUGAAAUGCGUAGAUAUCCGAAGGAACAUCAGUGGCGAAAGCGGCUUCCUGGUCCAGCACCGACGUUCAGGCACGAAAGCGUGGGGAGCAAACAGGAUUAGAUACCCUGGUAGUCCACGCCAUAAACGA
rnacentral:rRNA from 1 species